UACGGUGGGGGCAAGCGUUGUUCGGAAUUACUGGGCGUAAAGGGCGCGUAGGCGGAUGGUACAGUCAGACGUGAAAUUCCUGGGCUCAACCUGGGGGCUGCGUUUGAUACGUGCUGUCUGGAGUUCGGAAGAGGGUCGUGGAAUUCCCAGUGUAGAGGUGAAAUUCGUAGAUAUUGGGAAGAACACCGGUGGCGAAGGCGGCGACCUGGUCCGAUACUGACGCUGAGGCGCGAAAGCGUGGGGAGCAAACAGG
rnacentral:rRNA from 1 species